rnacentral:precursor_RNA from 15 species
AUGGUUUGCAUCCACUUCUGGGCUGCGUCCACAGGCACAGCUGGUUUGAGCAUUUUGACCGAAUUGCCAAACCACUCGUGCCUGGAGCCACAGCCUGCACCUGCUCCUGAGUCCUCU